CGGGUGAGUAACACGUGAGAAACCUGCCCCGGAGACCGGGAUAGCCCAGGGAAACCUGGAUUAAUACCGGAUACCCUCUAACGAUCGCAUGAUCGACUGAGGAAAUGGUCCGCCGCUCCGGGAUGGUCUCGCGACCUAUCAGCUUGUUGGUGAGGUAACGGCUCACCAAGGCAUCGACGGGUAGCUGGUCUGAGAGGACGAUCAGCCACACUGGGACUGAGACACGGCCCAG
rnacentral:rRNA from 1 species